rnacentral:lncRNA from 1 species
AUCUCAUAUCCACAGAAUCUAUUCUCUGUCUUCAUGAAGCCCAAUCUUAAGUUGACUGAGUCUCACUAUCACCCAGGCUGGAGUGCAGUGGUGUGAUGUUGGCUCACUGAAACCUCUGCCUCCCAGAUUCAAGCAAUUCUUCUGCCUCAGCCUCCUAAGUAGCUGGGACUAUAGGUGCCUGCCACCAUGCCUAGCUAAUUUUUUUUUUUUUUUUUUUUUUUGGUAGUAGAGACGAGGUUUCACUAUAUUGGCCAGACUGGUCUCAAACUCCUGACCUCAUGAUCCACCCACCUCAGCCUCCCAAAGUGCCAGGAUUACAGGUGUGAACCACUGCAUUGGCCAAGUUGCUUGUCUUCUAAAUGUAAGUUUAUCUUCUAAAUUUUCUCUACUGCUUCUCGAAGCCAGAGAUGCGGGAAUUAUCCUGGUGAUCAGGAAGAUCUCAUUCAUCAUCUAUCCUAGCACACCAUUAUCAUUUUUGUUCUGCUAAAACACAAUUCCUUUUACAUAACUCUUUCGUCAACUGCCUUUAAUGGCUUCCCCUUACCCACAAGAAUAGAUGCCAGUUCAGAUUUGAGCUCCUUCGCUGUAGAGAUUUAGCCCUAACUGUACCAAAGAUAGGGUUGCCAGACUUAGCAAAUAAAAAUAGAGGACUUUAUCUGGCAACCUUAAUUGAAGAGUAACUAACUGCAAUAGUAAAACCAUACUACUUUCAAACCAUACAAAUGCCAUAAUUACUAUUCAAAAUCCUAAACAAUCAGUACAGCAUGGAUACUGACCAAUCAGGGUAGACGAAGAUGGUUAACAAGUGAGAGGCUGAACCAAUGCAUCCUCAUAGCAUCACAGCUAUGAGUACAUCCCAGCUCAUACUACCAUCCACAAAAGAAAUGCCCAUUAUCCUCUUCUUUAUCCCUUCAAAUAUUUCCCAUCUUCCAAAGACUUCUUAAUUUUAAUUUUUUGUUUUGUUUGUUAGGUCUCUUGUAUCAAACAAGUUUAAACUCUCUGACCCCUUCUACUGUUCUCCCACAGUUCACUGCCCCAACAUUUUUUUUCCAUUUUUUUCUUAAUUUCUCAAAGACACACCUCACAGGGAAAUUUCAACUUAGUUAAAACUGUCAAUGAUAUUGACUAUAAGCAAGAGUAACUACGUAUUAAUCUGUUUUCAUACUGCUAUAAAGAACUGCUUCAGACAGGGUAAUUUAUAAGGAAAGAGGUU